AAAAAAAGUGAUUUUUAUUCAUUAUAUAUUUUUUAAAAACUAUCGUUCGAUCAAUCGGUUAUCGGAAUUUUAUUCGGCGCAGUAUCAGAAUUGAACAUCUUCCUCAAAAAAUCCAUGUCGGGCCCCACUGUUGACAUGAGAAACACACAAAAACAAAACAAACUAGUCCAACUACAAAUCUAAUCAAACAAUACAAAGCGUGAUGUAACGCACAGACAAAGAGGAACAAACACAGAGUGGCGGGCACGCGCACACGCUAAUCACACGCUGCGGCCACAAUAACGCUCACGAGCGGCACGUAAAGACCACAUGCAAACAAACAACAUCGUGUCGACGCGGCGGCGUGAUGUAACGCCGCGCAACAACACGCGUCGGUGGAGCCGCCAGCUUGUUUUGUCGCAGCGGGAAAAGUAGGACAGGAUGAGAUCAACGCAAUCUGACACAGAUGUGUGACAACGUCGUACACACGUUAAUCGGACGUCCCUGCCAUGUUGUGUGAGCAAUUCUUGUCAGUAAACGCAAUGAAACGGGACUAUUUUAAGCAAUUCUUGGCUUCAUUUGCCGGAAGACGGGAGCAAUCGUUUCAGGUAAAUGCUGCAAUAUUCCAUCAUCCGCAAUUCUCCUCAGAUAAUCCUUUAUCGUCUGGAAUUCCUCCACAAAUUAUCCUUUGAUUGAACAAUGACGAGAGCGGAGGAGGGAAUCUUGUUGUAGGUAUGCACUGCAGGUAAACCACAACAGCCCGAGGGCGCGUCAGAACGCCGUGAAUGGAAAAUGAGAGCAAAGAGGAGCCCCGAGACGGAGCCUUGAGGCACUCCAUCCUGGCGACACAGCAGGCAGCGGCUUCUCUUCAGCGCUUUUAAACGCCAUCAGCGAACGCCUUUGUUUGGCUGAGUGACGGCGAGCCCCGCUCCCCUAAAAUUUUAUCGGGGGAGUUGGCUCGGAGCGGAAUGUACAGUGGGAGCAGCUCGCAUUUCACGGCAGGGCGGGGAGCCCCGUGAACUCGGGAGUGGGUAUCCGGCUGGAGUGGGGGGCUGCAUAAGAGGGAAGGACAACCGAUGAUGUUUUACAGUCGGACGGUGCAAGGAUGACCAAAGUCCAUUUUCAAAUCAGCCAUCGGAGUCUCCACGGCGACGAUGCUGUGACGUUG